CGGACCCCCACCAGUCAACACCUACAGUGCAGCGGACCCUGUCGUCAAUGUCCCCCUGAUCCCAUCUCGCCCAGCCAGGGUACCCCCAGCCCUGCCCCCCGGCAUACCCAGAAGACCCCCAGCGGCCCCAGGCCGGCCCACCAUCAUACGCCCUUCAGAGCCUUCACUGCUGGACUAGACAGACCAGACAGACAGACAGACAGACAGACAGACAGACAGACAGACAGACAGACAGACAGACAGACAGACAGACACUCCUAAUGUCCUUUGACUACAAAGACACACUUUGCGUAACGUUGUUUCAUUCCCUAACAUGAUUCCUGUCUUUCAUGUAUUCUCUCUUAAUAUUCAUAUUGUCAUAUUAUUGUUAUUUCAUGUAUUCUCUCUUAAUAUUCAUAUUGUCAUGUUAUUGCUAUUUCAUGUAUUCUCUCUUAAUAUUCAUAUUGUCAUGUUAUUUUAUUUUUUCAUUUAAGCAACACUAUGUACUUUUGAUCACAUAGUUUUUUUUAUAGCUUUGUUAAUGCUUUAAUACCUUCAAUGUUUCAAAGCGAUUGAGAGAGAAAUGAAACCUACAUGUUUUUGUUGAACUCUAACUUACUUUAAUGAACUCAGUUCAAACCGGUGGAUUGGACAGAAUUUCAAAUCAAACAGGUUUAAAAUAUGGAACAGAUUUUUGUGAAUAAUACUUCUUCACAUGGAAGCACUUAUUCCACUGUUUUACAUAACAAAUACACUCCAUAAUUAAUAACAAAAUACUUAGUUCUUUAUACUGUUUGAAAUGUUUCUAACCUUCUUACUGGAUCAUAUGUACAUUUGUAUUUUUAGAUCUGAUCUUCAAUAUGCACUUCAAUAUCUAUGCAGGAAUAUUACAGUGAGUCCUUUCUAGCUCGCAGCUUUUUGAUAUUCAUUUUGAUGAAAUGCUAAUUAUGCUAUAAAAUGAAUUGAUUUCAAUGGAAAAUAGUUAGCUUCAACUGCCCUCACAGUUCACUCAAAGAACAGUGCUAACCAGUCAGGGUUGGUGUCCAUUCCGUUUCAAUUUCAGUCAAUUCAGAAAGUUCCAAUUCUCUUCAAUGCUCUUUAAUGAGGAACUUUUGGAAUUGGAAUUUGGUUCUCUCUGAAUUGACAGGAAUUGACAUGGAAUUGGCACCAACCCUGUAGUCAAUAGAGAUACCAGGUGUCUCGUCAGUUGUCGAUGUUAGUAGUAGAUAGUUGUUAGACAAGGGCAGAGAUUCAAUCAAAGAUGUGUUGUCGAUAAGCUCACUGCACUUGACUUUUAAAAAGGUCAUCAUCCGCUGCGUUUACAUAAAAUGCAACAUCUCUGCAAACAUCUUGGAAAUUCCCUUUAAAGGAUCACUGUUGAGAGUGUUGUUUGCUUAUCGCUUCUUUAAUUAAAUCCCGGCUUUUAGCCCAGUCUAUUGUAAAUGGUAGCUUGCUGUCAAUCUGGCCUCUGCUUCCUGAAUAGACCAAUCAAAAUGGACCUGCUUCCUGAAUAGACCAUUCAAAAUGGACCUGCUUCCUGAAUAGACCAUUCAAAAUGGACCUGGUUCCUGAAUGGACCAAUCAAAAUGGACCUGCUUCCUGAAUAGACCAUUCAAAAUAGACCUGUUUCCUGAAUGGACCAAUCAAAAUGGACCUGUUUCCUGGAUGGACCAAUCAAAAUGGACCUGCUUCCUGAAUGGACCGAUCAAAAUGGACCUGCUUCCUGAAUGGACCAAUCAAAAUGGACCUGCUUCCUGAAUGGACCAAUCAAAAUGGACCUGCUUCCUGAAUGGACCAAUCAAAAUGGACCUGCUUCCUGAAUGGACCAAUCAAAAUGGACCUGCUUCCUGAAUGGACCGAUCAAAAUGGACCUGCUUCCUGAAUGGACCAAUCAAAAUGGACCUGCUUCCUGAAUGGACCAAUCAAAAUGGACCUGUUUCCUGAAUGGACCAAUCAGAAACCAGACAGAGGGGGUAGUGCACCACAUAGGGAAUAGGAUGCCGUUUCAGACUCUUUGUAUUGUUUUUUUUAAAUGACUUUUUCUAUUUUUCUAAGUGCCUCUUACCUGUGCCUUUCCUAUUGGAUAAACAAAUGAAUGACAUGAUACAAUACAUUAACAAAGGAAUGAAUCACUGGGUGAACGAGGGAGGGAUGGUAGAAUGGAACAGUAGUGAAGAAGGUGGAUAAAGAUGUGAUAUGGAAUAAUAAAGAGUUAAAGGGA